rnacentral:tRNA from 1 species
AUUAGUGUAAUGGUUAACAUAUCCGCCUUUCACGCGGGUGCUCCGGGUUCAAUUCCCG